GCGCGAUAGCUCAGUCGGUAGAGCAGUGGUCUUGUAAUCCGGUGACCUGGGUUCGAAACCAAGGCGAUGCA
rnacentral:tRNA from 1 species